GAUGAACGCUGGCGGCGUGCCUAAUACAUGCAAGUCGAGCGAACGGACGAGAAGCUUGCUUCUCUGAUGUUAGCGGCGGACGGGUGAGUAACACGUGGAUAACCUACCUAUAAGACUGGGAUAACUUCGGGAAACCGGAGCUAAUACCGGAUAAUAUUUUGAACCGCAUGGUUCAAAAGUGAAAGACGGUCUUGCUGUCACUUAUAGAUGGACCCGCGCUGCAUUAGCUAGUUGGUAAGGUAACGGCUUACCAAGGCAACGAUGCAUAGCCGACCUGAGAGGGUGAUCGGCCACACUGGAACUGAGACACGGUCCAGACUCCUACGGGAGGCAGCAGUAGGGAAUCUUCCGCAAAGGGCGAAAGCCUGACGGAGCAACGCCGCGUGAGUGAUGAAGGUCUUCGGAUCGUAAAACUCUGUUAUUAGGGAAGAACAUAUGUGUAAGUAACUGUGCACAUCUUGACGGUACCUAAUCAGAAAGCCACGGCUAACUACGUG
rnacentral:rRNA from 1 species